UGGGGAAUAUUGGACAAUGGGGGCAACCCUGAUCCAGCAAUGCCGCGUGUGUGAAGAAGGCCUGCGGGUUGUAAAGCACUUUUAGUUAAGAGGAAAGGAUGAUUGCGAAUAGCAAUGGUCUGUGACGCUAUUAACAGAAAAAGCACCGGCUAACUCUGUGCCAGCAGCCGCGGUAAUACAGAGGGUGCAAGCGUUAAUCGGAAUGACUGGGCGUAAAGGGCGCGUAGGUGGUUAAUUAAGUUGGAUGUGAAAUCCCUGGGCUUAACCUAGGAACUGCAUUCAAUACUGGUUAACUUGAGUAUGGGAGAGGGUAGUGGAAUUUCCGGUGUAGCGGUGAAAUGCGUAGAUAUCGGAAGGAACAUCAGUGGCGAAGGCGACUGCCUGGCCCAAUACUGACACU
rnacentral:rRNA from 1 species